rnacentral:lncRNA from 1 species
GGAGGCCAAGAAGUCCUAUGAUCUGCCCUCUGCAAGCUGGAGAACCGGAAAAGCCAGUAGCAUCAUUCAGUCUGAAUGAGAAGGUCUGAGAAUCGGGCCCGAUGGUCUAAGUCCCUAUUUGAGUUUGAAAGCCUGAGGUCCAGGAGCACCAGUAUCCAAGGGCAGAAGAUAAACGUCUCAGCUGAAGCAAAGAGAGCAAAUUUGCCCUUCCUCCACCUUUUUCUUCUAUUCAUGCCCUCAACAGACUGGAUAAUGCCCACCUUCUCUGUGAUGAUUUUUAUCAGCAGAAAAAAGAAAGAAAGAAAAGACUUUAAAGUUAAAAGGAGAAUUUGGAAUUUGAGGAAGAACUCUAACCAUAAGAUCAAUUCUACAAGCAGAGUGGCAAAGCACUGGGCAAAUUGUUAUGAAUCCUCAGUUCCAGGACUGCAUCUUGUUUGCGCAUUUCAGGGAAUUAUUGGGAUUGAUGUAGAGAUUGUAUUAUAUAUAAUACCUAAAGCUUUCCUAUUGUUUUUAGUGGUUUAGGUAUAUAGAAAGGAUAUUUUUAUUAAUAAGCCAUGCUCAGCAUUUCUGUCUUCUAUUUUUAUGUUUAAUUAUUUAUAUUCUGUCUCAUUCCAAAAACACAUUUAAGGUGACUUGCAGGGAUCUAGAAACUAUAUUACAAUAAAUUGAAUGCAGAUUAGAAAGGCAGAAGAAAGUCAAGGUCUAAGGUCCUAAACUCCAGCCAUGAGGGAAGAUAAUGUGAAAAACAUUCGUAUCCUGUCUUCUUCCUAGAGGUGGACUACACAUUUGCUUUUAAAUGAUACAAAUUCCAGUCAAAAAAGAAAACUGAGGGGCCGGCCUGGUGAUACAGCAGUUAAGUUCACACUUUUGGCUUCGGCGGCCUGGGGUUCACCGGUUCGAAUCCUGGGUGUGGACCUGCCCACCGCUUGUCUGGCAGUGCUGUGGCAGGUGUUCCACAUAAAGUAGAGGAGGACGGGCACAGAUGUUGGCUCAGGGCUGGUCUUCCUCAAAAAUAAAACGAGAAAAGAAAACUGAAUCCUUAAAGAUUCAAAUAUCUUUAAGAGAAAAUGAUCCCCAUAUUUCAGGAGAAAUACAAAUGCUCCUGACUUGAAGGACAUUUUUUGUGAGGUGAGGUUUUUCAGCAGCUUUUAGUUUUAUUGCUAUUGUUAAUGGGAUAUGUUCCUUAAUUAUGCUUUCAGAUUUUUUCUGAAAAUAAAAAUGCAAUUGGUUUUUAUAUGAUUCAAUAAGAUUUUUACAUUUUAGUGGCAUCUGUCCAAGAUAUAUGAUUUUAUUAUUUUUAAAUAAAGAUAAUUUUAUUUCCAUUUUACCAAUGAUAUACAUCACAUAUUAUUUGUAUCUAAUUGCCUUUGCUAGUUCUUCUAGAACAAUACUAAAUAUUAAUGGAAAAGAGGGGCAGUUUUGCCUCACUUUUUACUAUACCAGUGGUUUUUUUUUCCAUAUUUUAAGCAUGAUUCUAGAUUUGUCUUUGUGUGUAGAUAUUUAUGCAAAAUACAAUAUCUAUCUAUUCUUAUUUGUUAAU